rnacentral:rRNA from 1 species
CUGCCCUGCACUCUGGGACAAGCCCUGGAAACGGGGUCUAAUACCGGAUACUGACCCGCCUGGGCAUCCAGGCGGUUCAAAAGCUCCGGCGGUGCAGGAUGAGCCCGCGGCCUAUCAGCUUGUUGGUGAGGUAAGGGCUCACCAAGGCGACAACGGGUAGCCGGCCUGAAAGGGCAACCGGCCACACUGGGACUGAAACACGGCCCAAACUCCUACGGGAGGCAGCAGUGGGGAAUAUUGCACAAUGGGCGAAAGCCUGAUGCAGCGGGCGCGGCGUGAGGGAUGACGGCCUUCGGGUUGUAAACCUCUUUCAGCAGGGAAAAACCGAAAGUGACGGUACCUGCAGAAAAAGCGCCGGCUAACUACGUGCCAGCAGCCGCGGUAAUACGUAGGGCGCGAGCGUUGUCCGGAAUUAUUGGGCGUAAAGAGCUCGUAGGCGGCUUGUCCCGUCGGUUGUGAAAAGCCCGGGGGCUUAACCCCGGGGUCUGCAUUCAAUACGG